AUUGAACGCUGGCGGCAUGCCUUACACAUGCAAGUCGAACGGCAGCGGGGGAGAAGCUUGCUUUUCCUGCCGGCGAGUGGCGAACGGGUGAGUAAUACAUCGGAACGUGCCCUGUAGUGGGGGAUAACUAGUCGAAAGAUUAGCUAAUACCGCGUACGACCUGAGGGUGAAAGUGGGGGACCGCAAGGCCUCAUGCUAUAGGAGCGGCCGAUGUCUGAUUAGCUAGUUGGUGGGGUAAAGGCCUACCAAGGCGACGAUCAGUAGCUGGUCUGGGAGGACGAUGAGCCACACUGGGACUGUGACACGGACCAGACUCCUACUGGAGGCGGCAGUGGGGAAUUUUGGACAAUGGCCGAAAGCCUGAUCCAGCAAUGCCGCGGGUGUGAAGAAGGCCUUCGGGUUGUAAAGCACUUUUGUCCGGAAAGAAAUGGCUCUGGUUAAUACCUGGGGUCGAUGACGGUACCGGAAGAAUAAGGACCGGCUAACUACGUGCCAGCCGCCGCAGUAA
rnacentral:rRNA from 1 species